GAUAUUCCCUAUGCAAAAAUGGAGUCAAAGAGCAACUAGGCCUCAUGCCUUUAGAGUGCUAUAAAAGUCAAAGAGCAACUAGGCCUCCUGCCUUUAGAAUGCUUAAUGCAGUAGAGGAAUUGAAAAGGACCUAUUAUCUAAACUCCCUCUUGUCAAUUCUUUGUUUGCAUUAUAGAACUUUUUGAUGUGUGUGUUAUUAUGCUAGGGAUUCCAACUUGAGCCUAAGUGAAAAACCAUUGUCAUGAGCUUCUAAAGUGAGAGAUAUAAG
rnacentral:lncRNA from 1 species